CUCUCGGCAAUGGAUAUCUCGGCUCUCGCAUCGAUGAAGAACGUAGCGAAAUGCGAUACCUGGUGUGAAUUGCAGAAUCCCGUGAACCAUCGAGUCUUUGAACGCAAGUUGCGCUCGAGGCCAUCCGGCUAAGGGCACGCCUACUUGGGCAUCAC
rnacentral:rRNA from 1 species